rnacentral:rRNA from 1 species
GGAUUAGAUACCCUGGUAGUCCACACCGUAAACGCUGUCUACUAGCUGUUUGGACCUUCAUUAGACUGAGUAGCGAAGCUAACGCGCUAAGUAGACCGCCUGGGGAGUACGGCCGCAAGGUUAAAACUCAAAUGAAUUGACGGGGGCCCGCACAAGCGGUGGAGCAUGUGGUUUAAUUCGAUGCAACGCGAAGAACCUUACCUACACUUGACAUGCAGAGAACUUUCCAGAGAUGGAUUGGUGCCUUCGGGAACUCUGACACAGGUGCUGCAUGGCUGUCGUCAGCUCGUGUCG